rnacentral:rRNA from 1 species
GAUUAACGCUGGCGGCGUGCCUAACACAUGCAAGUCGAACGAUGAAACUUAACUGAUUUCUUCGGAAUGAUUUUAAGUGGAUUAGUGGCGGACGGGUGAGUAACGCGUGAGUAACCUGCCUUGGAGAAGGGGAUAGCCUUUGGAAACGAAGAAUAAUACCCUAUGAUAUGAUACUAUCUCAUGAUAUUAUCAUCAAAGAUUUAUCGCUCUAAGAUGGACUUGCGUCUGAUUAGUUAGUUGGUGAGGUAACAGCUCACCAAGGCAGCGAUCAGUAGCCGGCUUGAGAGAGUGUACGGCCACAUUGGGACUGAGACACGGCCCAGACUCCUACGGGAGGCAGCAGUGGGGAAUUUUGCACAAUGGGGGAAACCCUGAUGCAGCGACGCCGCGUGAUUUAGAAGGCCUUCGGGUUGUAAAAAUCUUUUGUAUGGGAAGAAAAUGACAGUACCAUACGAAUAAGGACCGGCUAAUUACGUG